rnacentral:rRNA from 1 species
GAAUCUUCCACAAUUGACGAAAGUCUGAUGGAGCAAUGCCGCGUGAGUGAAGAAGGUUUUCGGAUCGUAAAACUCUGUUGGGAGGGAAGAACAAGUUUGAGAGUAACAGCUCGUACCUUGACGGUACCUCCUUAGAAAGCCACGGCUAACUACCUGCCAGCCGCCGCGGUAAUACGUAGGUGGCCAGCGUUGUCCGGAAUUAUUCGGCGUAAAGCGCGCGCAGUCGUUCCUUUAAGUCUGAUGUGAAAUCCCACGGCUCAACCGUGGAAGGUCAUUGGAAACUGGGGGACUUGAGUACAGAAGAGGAAAGCGGAAUUCCAAGUGUAGCGGUGAAAUGCGUAGAGAUUUGGAGGAACACCAGUGGCGAAGGCGGCUUUCUGGUCUGUAACUGACGCUGAGGCGCGAAAGCGUGGGGAGCAAACA